rnacentral:sRNA from 1 species
GCGGCCCUAAGGGAGUGUCUAAGAACAAGAGCGACCCAUUCAGAGACUGUCCCUGAAACCUAGUACUGCCCCUCAUGAGGAAGGAACAGCAAUGGUGCCUCUGUGACACCCCCUGACCUAUGGAAGGGAACUCAUGUUGGCCGGACAUUUUACCACGUGCCAGGCACUGCGGGCACUUUACAUAAAGCAGCCAAUGUCAGAACUAGAAAGCGGGAGAGCUGGGAUUCAGAGCACAGACUGACUCAGCAGGUGUUCUGCGAGCCUCACCUGUGCCCCCCAGGCGCGACUCGAUCUCGAUGCCCGGAUACUGCUCCUUCACAGCACUGGCCAGCUCCAGGUAGGUCGCCUCGAAGCCGCAGGGUUCACUGGGGAGUCAAGAGAUGGGGCUGGGCUGGGGAUUCGGGGGUGGGGCCUCCCGUGGACCCACCUCCGUCCGGCCCGCGGGACCAGGGUGGGGGUCCUCCAGCCGGGGCCGCUCACCAGUACUCCACCACGAUGCG